AGUCCAUAUUUCAAGUAGUGUGUUUUAGUCCAUAUUUCAGGUAGUGUGAUGGUACUGCUUAACAAUGAACAGACAUUGCUGUUCCGGGUUAACAGGACUAAGAAUUUGUUCCCACAUUCGGUCAGCACCAAGGCUAAGGAACAGCUUCACUCUCUAAUCUUUCCACGAAAUAGCUGUCACCUUGCUCCGGUGCUGAAGUUCGGGAUGCGGAACUAGCUGAGCAUGCGUACUUCCUCCCUGCCGGCCCUCCCUCCGUCCCGUUGGCUCCGCCCUCCGCGGACGUGCUGCGUCAGAAUGCGCCUCACCCCUGGCGACCCCGGAAGUGGGUCGGGGGCUUGGCCUCUGCCCGGCCACAGAGCCGGAGCUGGAGGUGCUGUCCCGUCCGGCGGCGAUCCCCGGGCAGGGCCCGGGGCCGGGGUUUGAAGAUGCUGAACGUCCCUUCCCAGUCUUUCCCGGCCCCCAGGUCGCAGCAGCGUGUCGCCUCCGGGGGGCGUAGCAAGGUACCUUUAAAACAGGGCAGAAGCCUUAUGGAUUGGAUUCGACUGACCAAAAGUGGAAAGGAUCUAACGGGAUUAAAAGGCAGGUUAAUUGAAGUAACUGAAGAAGAACUUAAGAAACACAACAAAAAAGAUGAUUGUUGGAUAUGCAUAAGAGGUUUCGUUUAUAAUGUCAGCCCUUAUAUGGAGUAUCAUCCUGGUGGAGAAGAUGAACUAAUGAGAGCAGCAGGAUCAGAUGGUACUGAACUUUUUGAUCAGGUUCAUCGUUGGGUCAAUUAUGAAUCCAUGCUGAAAGAAUGCCUGGUUGGCAGAAUGGCCAUUAAACCUGCUGUUCUGAAAGACUAUCGUGAGGAGGAAAAGAAAGUCUUAAAUGGCAUGCUUCCCAAGAGCCAAGUGACAGAUACACUUGCCAAAGAAGGUCCUAGUUAUCCAAGCUAUGAUUGGUUCCAAACAGACUCUUUAGUCACCAUUGCCAUAUAUACUAAACAGAAGGAUAUCAAUUUAGACUCAAUAAUAGUUGAUCAUCAGAAUGAUUCCUUUAGAGCAGAGACAAUUAUUAAGGAUUGUUUAUAUCUUAUACAUAUUGGGCUAAGCCAUGAGGUUCAGGAAGAUUUUUCUGUGCGGGUUGUUGAGAGUGUGGGAAAAAUAGAGAUUGUUCUACAAAAAAAAGAGAAUACUUCUUGGGACUUUCUUGGCCAUCCCCUGAAGAAUCAUAAUUCACUUAUUCCAAGGAAAGAUACAGGUUUGUACUACAGAAAGUGCCAGUUAAUUUCCAAGGAAGAUGUUACUCAUGAUACGAGGCUUUUCUGUUUGAUGCUGCCACCAAGCACUCAUCUUCAAGUGCCCAUUGGGCAACAUGUUUACCUCAAGCUACCUAUUACAGGUACAGAAAUAGUAAAGCCAUAUACACCUGUAUCUGGUUCCUUACUCUCAGAGUUCAAGGAACCAGUUCUUCCCAACAAUAAAUACAUCUACUUUUUGAUAAAAAUCUAUCCCACUGGACUCUUCACACCAGAGCUUGAUCGUCUUCAGAUUGGAGAUUUUGUUUCUGUAAGCAGUCCUGAGGGCAAUUUUAAAAUAUCCAAGUUCCAAGAAUUAGAAGAUCUCUUUUUGUUGGCAGCUGGAACAGGCUUCACACCAAUGGUUAAAAUACUGAAUUAUGCUUUGACUGAUAUACCCAGUCUCAGGAAAGUGAAGCUGAUGUUCUUCAAUAAAACAGAAGAUGAUAUAAUUUGGAGAAGCCAAUUGGAGAAAUUAGCAUUUAAAGAUAAAAGACUGGAUGUUGAAUUUGUUCUCUCAGCACCUAUUUCUGAAUGGAAUGGCAAACAGGGACAUAUUUCACCAGCUCUUCUUUCUGAAUUUUUGAAAAGAAAUUUGGACAAAUCCAAAGUUCUCGUCUGCAUUUGUGGACCAGUGCCAUUUACAGAACAAGGAGUAAGGUUGCUGCAUGAUCUCAACUUUUCCAAAAAUGAGAUCCAUAGUUUUACAGCAUAAUGAAGAGCUGUCAUUGUCCUUUAUUCAACUAGUUUAUCUAUAUUUGUGAUUGCUUAGGGUUUUUUAAGAGAACAUUUUUGUACAUAACAAAAGGUUAACUAGAAUCCAGCCUUCAGUUUCUUAAAUGAAAUCAAAUGUUCCUUCAGUUCAGACGCCCAGCUUGUGAAGCUUCCUAUGUGCAAAUGGCUGGUUGAACACUAUCACUUUUUCCUGUGCCUCUGUCUUCUGUAGCCAUUUCCACCAUCAUCAUUAUUCACAAAGACAGGAAUCUAGCUGUCCUGGACUGGUACUGUUCCCUGUUUUUGAAAACUUCACAAGCACUGAAAAUCCUAGAAUAUGAUAUAUUUUAGGAGGUUUAUGAAAGGAUGGAACGGACCCUGAAAAGCACUCUUGAAUACAGGUAAAGAAAGCAUUUCAUGGUUCACUUAUUGAGGACAAUCAACCACUUCAUAAUUUAGAACCUGAAGAUUGGAUCUUCUGAGAACCUCAGAGAAAGACUGCCCUUGGCAUCCACACUGCAGCAAAACUUCAGGACCUUGAACCUUGGGCUAAUAAUUUCACAACUGAGAUGGCUUCAUCUACACCCUUGGAACUAUACCCAUUAGAACCCUUAAGGUAAAGCUAACCAAGGAAGUUUCUACCCAGAAGAAGAUUGCAUCCUUGAUAUGAACAGCUUUUUCCCAAGAUCAUGCAUCAAGACUUCUCUACUAUCAUGAGACUCUUACUUUGAAUAUUUUUCCCUUGCUUAUGCCUCUAUGAACAAUAGAAGUGAAAAGGGGG